AGAUUGAACGCUGGCGGCAUGCCUUACACAUGCAAGUCGAACGGCAGCACGGGAGCAAUCCUGGUGGCGAGUGGCGAACGGGUGAGUAAUAUAUCGGAACGUGCCCAGUCGUGGGGGAUAACGCAGCGAAAGCUGUGCUAAUACCGCAUACGAUCUCUGGAUGAAAGCGGGGGACUCGCAAGGGCCUCGCGCGAUUGGAGCGGCCGAUAUCAGAUUAGCUAGUUGGUGGGGUAAAGGCCCACCAAGGCGACGAUCUGUAGCUGGUCUGGAGAGGACGACCAGCCACACUGGAACUGAGACACGGUCCAGACUCCGUACGGGACGC
rnacentral:rRNA from 1 species